AUGGAAGGCUCAGGCGCGGUCGGCGCCCGCGGCGGCGGGGGCGGCGGGCCGGCGCCGUUCCUGCUCAAGACGUACGAGAUGGUGGACGACCCGGCGACGGACGCGGUGGUGUCGUGGAGCGACGCGUCGGACACGAGCUUCGUGGUCUGGAACUCGCCCGAGUUCGCCGCGCGGCUGCUGCCCGCCUACUUCAAGCACAGCAAUUUCUCCAGCUUCAUCCGCCAGCUCAACACCUACGGAUUCCGUAAAAUAGAUCCAGAGCGAUGGGAAUUCGGUAACGAGUACUUUGUCAAGGGGCAGAAGCACCUGCUGAAGAACAUCUACAGGCGGAAGCCUAUCCACAGCCACAGUCAUCAACCAGGUGCGCUGCCUGAUAACGAGCGUUCAUUCUUCGAAGACGAGAUCGACCGGCUUGCACGAGAGAAAGCAAACCUACAGGCCGAGCUCUGGAAGUCCAAGCAGCAGGAAUCCGGAACCAUGUUCCAGAUUGAGGCCCUGGAGCGACGAGCGGUCGACAUGGAGCAGCGGCAGGGCAAGAUGAUCGCCUUCCUGCAGCAGGCCAGCAAGAACCCUCACUUUGUCAGUAAGCUUGUCAAGAUGGCAGAGGCAUCCUCGAUGUUCGCAGAUGCUUUGCACAAGAAGAGAAGGUUGUCCGGGCUAGACUACGCCGUCGAGGCCACGGAAACCGCUAGCUUCUGCGAUGACCACAGCGCCACUUCCAGGCAAGAAAUGGGCAACCUUCUGAACCAGCACUUCUCCGAUAAGCUCAAGUUGGGGCUCUGCUCUGCGGCGGCGGAGAGCAACCUCGUCACCCUGAGCACCCAAAGCUCGCACGAAGACAACGGUAGCCCGCAUGGCAGGCAUCCUCCAGUUCAUGACGGAAUGGGGACGGGAUGCCUUCCUCUGGUACCACAGAUCAUGGAACUCUCCGAUACCGGGACGUCCAUCUGCCCCUCCAAGAGCUCGUUCUUCGCACCGGCUGUGAACGAUGAAGGGCUGUCGCCGUGCCAUCUGAGCCUAACUCUAGCAUCGUGCUCGAUGGACGUCGACAGAGGCCAAGCCUCCAAUGCAGACGGGAGCACCACCAUCAACGAGGGAAGCGACAACCCACCGGAGGCCACCGCAACCGCCAUGGGCGGUAACCCGAAGGCAUCAGUCGAUGCCGGCACAGCGGAAGCGCCGACUCCACGAGAGGAUACGUGGGUGGCCGCCGAGCCGGCAGCUCCUGUCAAGGCGAAUGACAACUUCUGGGAACAGUUCUUGACGGAGAGGCCGGGAGACGCGAGCUCUGGCCCGAGGGAUCCUUCCAUGGACAAGGAGCAAACGGAAGGCGGGGGGAAGGAUGACAGAGAAGUCACGGAACAGCUGAAACUCUGA
rnacentral:rRNA from 1 species